rnacentral:rRNA from 1 species
UACAGAGGUGGCAAGCGUUGUUCGGAAUUACUGGGCGUAAAGGGCGCGUAGGCGGCCUUCUAAGUCAGACGUGAAAUCCCCAGGCUUAACUUGGGAACUGCGUCUGAUACUGGGAGGCUUGAAUGCGGGAGAGGGAUGUGGAAUUCCAGGUGUAGCGGUGAAAAUGCGUAGAUAUCGAGAGGAACACCUGAGGUGAAGACGGGUUGCUGGGCCGACACUGACGCUGAGUGCGCGAAAAGCCAGGGGAGCAAACGGG